rnacentral:ncRNA from 2 species
GUCGCUCUCGCGGGAGAGGUCGGAUUCGUCCGACGCCGAAGGCGCAACCGCCCCGGAAACGCUCAGGCAAAAGGACCGCGCGAGCAAC